GGCCCAACUCCAAUUUGCCAAUUUUUCUGACAAGGAACUUAGGGCCCAGAAUGCACAAUGCAUCUUUUGUUUUUAGAGACAGGGUCUUGCUGUCACCCAGGCUGCAGCCUUGAACUCCUGGACUCAAGCAAUCCUCUGGCUUCAGCAUCCCAAGUGGCUGGGACAACAGGUCACAGAGGACGUCUGGGUGACCCAAGGUAUCGUUAAGUUCUAGAUGGAAGACCCAGAUGGCACUCCUCCCGGGGAGGGGUUCCAGCCCCCACCCUCUCAGCCCCUCCCCUGCCAGCUCAACUCUGCAGUACACGAUGGGGGAAGGCUUAAACGCAGCUGCCAGGUGUAAUUUUUCAAGUGUCAAAGAUCCCAAGUGAUCCCUGACACCCACCCCUUCCUACUCUUACAUUCAUGCGUCUGUAAGAUAGCUGCCUACAACAGGUCAGUAGUGAUGCUCCGAUCAGAAAAACAAGAUACAAAACAAACAACAAACACACUUGGUCCCUUCAGACCAGUAAGAUACACAAACCACCUCCACGACCUCCGACCUCCCCCCUCCCUCCGGCUGCUCUGAGGAGCACGUGCCUCUUCCUUCACCCUGGGCCGGGCUGGGGCGGGAGCAGCCCAGCUGCUCUCUGGAUGUCACACCACUGUUAACUGUCAGUAACAAAAAUAAUAAGGUACAUGCUACACACACAUCCAGCUGGAAGCCUUGUUGGCCCCUAAGCCUUUGUUUCAUGCUACAGUACUGAGGGGUAUGUGUCCCCAAUGCACAGCCACCCGCACACAACUCAAUGAGCUUCCUGGGAAACACUAUUCCCCCACCUCCACCUUAGGUGGCUGCCUCAGUUUUCCAACCACAGGAAUCAGUCCCUCAGCUCCUGCCUCUAGUCUCCACCCCAAAAGUUCAGUCGUCUCUGUCUUGGAGGGCACUGUCGGCCCCCUCAGGUUGAAGUUCAACACUCCUCAAUGAGCAGCUGUUCCGAGCUGUACAGCUUCUUCUUGAUGACUCGGAAGCCAGUGCUCAGCGUCAGGGACUGGCUGAAGCCAGGGAGGAAGGGAGAGUUGGCGGAGCUAAACAGCCCCUGGAUCUUGGGCCAGAGUCGUGAGUCCAGGCGCAGCACGAGGGUCAGCUGGAAGGUGGGCACCAGGCUGGGGUCGAGUGCCAGCUGGCCCACGCUGUG
rnacentral:lncRNA from 1 species